UGGCUUCUCCACUUUUUUUUUUAUUUUUGCUACAAUGAUUUGGUACUUUCUGGAACCUUGAAAGACUUGAGACUUACUCUUGAGGUGAACAUGUUUGAGUUACUACCACCUCUGGAGUCAAGUGUAGAAAAAGUAUUCUCCUGGCACUAACUACCUUUGGCCCUUGGAGUCCAAUUCCUGGUCGUCCUGCAGGUCCAGAAGGUCCAGGUAGGCCUACGCCAUCUGCUCCAGUCUCUCCCGUCAAGCCAGGACGUCCCGGAGGACCCUGAGGUCAAGAGUGAGGAUUCACUCUGAGUCCCACCUUGGGUCCUGGCUGUCCCUCUCCAGGCGGUCCCGGGUUUCCUUGACUUCCAGGUGGUCCCACGGGACCCUGCAACAAAAGUGCGUCAUCUUCUGUUCCAGCUGGGGGUCUUGGAGGCUGUGCACAAACUGCUGAGCGGGCGCGCUGGCGACGGCCCUCAGCUUGGCGCUGUUGGUGCCCUGGCGGGCGAUGUCGGAUAGC